rnacentral:rRNA from 2 species
CCUACGGGAGGCAGCAGUAGGGAAUCUUCCGCAAUGGACGAAAGUCUGACGGAGCAACGCCGCGUGAGUGAUGAAGGUUUUCGGAUCGUAAAACUCUGUUGUUAGGGAAGAACAAGUACCGUUCGAAUAGGGCGGUACCUUGACGGUACCUAACCAGAAAGCCACGGCUAACUACGUGCCAGCAGCCGCGGUAAU